rnacentral:rRNA from 1 species
AUGGAGAGAGAGAGAGAGAGAGAGAGAGAGAGAGAGAGAGAGAUGUGGAAAAAAACUCGGCCCUGCCCGCGGGCCGGGGGGGACCCUAGUCUGCUCCGCCAUCAGCCCUCCCCUCCCCUCGCCGCCGCCGGGCAAAGCCCGGUCGGCGUAGGCGGCGGCGGGGCUUUUCUCCCUUCCCGGUGGUCUGUCGCAACGCGGGAUGCGGUGGAUCUCCUGGAGCACAGCGCUGGCGUGGGACGCAGCGGCAGCAAGGCGGACGGCCGCGCUGACGGUGUGGGCGGGUGCUGGGUUUGCGGUUGCUGCACGGCUUGGCUGGGCGCGGGCGGUGCCCGGCUGUUCCUCUGUGGUGGUGGUGGUCGGCUGGGGGACGAGCUGGGCAGGGUGGGGCUCGUUGUGGCGUUGCCCUGCUCUAGCUCGUAUGGAUCUUGGUGGUGGCACCGGCCAACGACGCGGCUUUGGUGGCUCGAGCAGCAGUGGCGGCAUCUUCCCUUCUCCUAG